rnacentral:rRNA from 1 species
CUGGCGGCGUGCCUAAUACAUGCAAGUCGAACGCGCUCCAUUCGGUAGCAAUACUGAUGAAGAGCGAGUGGCGAACGGGUGAGUAGCACGUGAGCAACCUGCCCCGAAGACUGGGACAACACCGGGAAACCGGUGCUAAUACCGGAUAUCCUUACCGGAUCACAUGAUCCAAUAAGGAAAUGGAUUCCGCUUCGGGAGGGGCUCGCGGCCUAUCAGCUUGUUGGUGGGGUAAUGGCCUACCAAGGCAUCGACGGGUAGCUGGUCUGAGAGGACGAUCAGCCACACUGGGACUGAGACACGGCCCAGACUCCUACGGGAGGCAGCAGUAGGGAAUCUUGCGCAAUGGGCGAAAGCCUGACGCAGCAACGCCGCGUGGAGGACGAAGGCUUUCUGAGUUGUAAACUCCUUUCAGCAGGGACGAUAGUGACGGUACCUGCAGAAGAAGCACCGGCCAACUACGUGCCAGCAGCCGCGGUGAUACGUAGGGUGCAAGCGUNGUCCGGAUUUAUUGGGCGUAAAGGGCUCGUAGGCGGUUUGAUAAGUCGGGUGUGAAACCUCCAGGCUCAACCUGNAGCCGCCACUCGAUACUGUCAUGACUA